GUGUCAGCAGCCGCGGUAAUACAGAGGGUGCAAGCGUUAAUCGGAAUUACUGGGCGUAAAGGGUGCGUAGGUGGUUACUUAAGUCAGAUGUGAAAUCCCAAGGCUUAACCUUGGAAUGGCAUAUGAAACUGAGUAGCUAGAGUACAGAAGAGGGAAGUGGAAUUUCCGGUGUAGCGGUGAAAUGCGUAGAUAUCGGAAGGAACACCAGUGGCGAAGGCGACUUCCUGGUCUGUUACUGACACUGAGGCACGAAAGCGUGGGGAGCGAACAGGAUUAGAAACCCCCGUAGUCC
rnacentral:rRNA from 1 species